AAGCAAGAAGUAAUCAAACACUUUUUGGCAAGAGUAUUAUGUCUAAUAUGUCUUCCUAUUGUAUUUUAUAUGGCAAUUUUUUACAUUCAUCUCAGGGUUUUAUAUAAAAGUGGAACAGGUGAUGGAUUUUUUAGUUCUGCAUUCCAAUCACAAUUGGAAGGAAAUUCAUUAUAUCAUGCUAGCAUGCCAAGACAAUUGGCUUAUGGUGCUAUCAUCACUUUAAAAAAUCAUCGUACAGGAGGAGGAUAUUUACAUUCACAUUGGCAUCUUUAUCCUGAAGGUAUUGGUGCUAGGCAACAACAGGUAAAAUAAUAUUUACAUACAGAAUGGUAACUU